CCUACGUGUGGCAGCAGUGGGGAAUAUUGGGCAAUGGGCGCAAGCCUGACCCAGCAACGCCGCGUGAAGGAAGAAGGCUUUCGGGUUGUAAACUUCUUUUGUCGGGGAACAAAGGCGGAGACGCGUCUCCGGAUGAGUGUACCCGAAGAAAAAGCAUCGGCUAACUCCGUGCCAGCAGCCGCGGUAAUACGGAGGAUGCGAGCGUUAUCCGGAUUUAUUGGGUUUAAAGGGUGCGCAGGCGGGAGAUCAAGUCAGCGGUAAAAUGUCGGGGCUCAACCCCGGCCGGCCGUUGAAACUGGUUUUCUAGAGUUGGAGAGAAGUAUGCGGAAUUCGUGGUGUAGCGGUGAAAUGCAUAGAUAUCACGAAGAACUCCGAUUGCGAAGGCAGCAUACCGGCUCCAUACUGACGCUGAGGCACGAAAGCGUGGGGAUCGAACAGGAUUAGAUACCCCGGUAGUC
rnacentral:rRNA from 1 species